rnacentral:rRNA from 1 species
AUGGGUAAGACACGUGGUAUGGGAGCUGGGCGCAAGCUCAAGACCCACAGGAGGAACCAGCGGUGGGCUGACAAAGCCUACAAGAAGAGCCAUCUGGGGAACGAGUGGAAGAAACCCUUUGCUGGUUCAUCCCACGCAAAGGGGAUUGUCCUUGAAAAGAUUGGCAUUGAAGCCAAGCAGCCCAACUCUGCUAUCCGCAAGUGCGCUCGUGUCCAGCUGGUGAAGAACGGAAAGAAGAUUGCCGCCUUUGUGCCAAACGAUGGUUGCCUGAACUUCAUCGAAGAGAAUGACGAGGUGCUCAUCGCUGGGUUCGGUCGGAAGGGGCAUGCUGUGGGAGACAUCCCUGGUGUCCGGUUCAAGGUGGUGAAGGUGUCGGGCGUGUCCCUCCUUGCACUCUUCAAGGAGAAGAAGGAGAAGCCCAGAUCCUAA